rnacentral:lncRNA from 1 species
CACGGUGCCGCUGCCGGCAGUACCCGGCGCCGUCGUGCCGACAGUGCCAACCGUGCCAGGCGUGCCAACGCUGCCUCUGCCGUCGAUGCCGACCAUCCCCGGCUUGCCUAACGUGCCACUGCCGCCGAUGCCGUCCAUCCCCGGUGACCUGCCCAAGCUGCCAGUACCACUGCCGCCGAUGCCAUCCAUCCCCGGCGACCUGCCAAAGCUGCCAGUGCCACUGCCGCCGAUGCCAUCCCUUCCCGAUCUGCCCAAGGUGCCACUGCCGCCGAUGCCAUCCCUACCCGACCUGCCCAAGGUGCCACUGCCCCCGACGAUGCCAUAGUUCCUCCUCAGAUCAGCCGACGCACCAGAGAUCCGUGCAUGCACAGGCGUGGAUGCCUGUGGCUGUGGGUAGCCAUAGUGCGUGUGGUCUACUAUUUGCCAGUGAAUUGGUGU